rnacentral:rRNA from 1 species
CCUGGCUUAGGAUGAACGCUAGCGACAGGCUUAACACAUGCAAGUCGAGGGGCAUCGGGAGUAGCAAUACUUGCCGGCGACCGGCGCAAGGGUGCGUAACGCGUGAGCAACAUGCCCGUAUCAGGGGGAUAAUCCAUGGAAACGUGGUCUAAUACCCCAUAGUAAUUAUGUAAGGCAUCUUAUAUAAUUUAAAGCUUUGGUGGAUACGGAUUGGCUCGCGUGACAUUAGCUAGAUGGUAAGGUAACGGCUUACCAUGGCUACGAUGUCUAGGGGUUCUGAGAGGAAGGCCCCCCACACUGGAACUGAGACACGGUCCAGACUCCUACGGGAGGCAGCAGUGAGGAAUAUUGGACAAUGGAUGGAAAUCUGAUCCAGCCAUGCCGCGUGCAGGAAGAACCGGCCCUAUGGGUUGUAAACUGCUUUUGUAUGGGAGCAAUAAGGGCUACGCGUAGUCCGAUGAGAGUACCAUACGAAUAAGCACCGGCUAACUCCGUGCCAGCAGCAGC